GUGUUCGUAGGGGGAAAAAAAGAUGGUUGGCAUCUCCCAUGAUUAGGACGGUAGCGGCCUUCGGGUUUGAAAUUACCAUUUUUUUAUUUUUAUUUUUUU